UAGGGAAUCUUCCACAAUGGACGCAAGUCUGAUGGAGCAACGCCGCGUGAGUGAAGAAGGUUUUCGGACCGUAAAGCUCUGUUGUUGGUGAAGAAGGAUAGAGGUAGUAACUGGCCUUUAUUUGACGGUAAUCAACCAGAAAGUCACGGCUAACUACGUGCCAGCAGCCGCGGUAAUACGUAGGUGGCAAGCGUUGUCCGGAUUUAUUGGGCGUAAAGCGAGCGCAGGCGGAAGAAUAAGUCUGAUGUGAAAGCCCUCGGCUUAACCGAGGAAUUGCAUCGGAAACUGUUUUCUUGAGUGCAGAAGAGGAGAGUAGAACUCCAUGUGUAGCGGUGGAAUGCGUAGAUAUAUGGAAGAAUACCAGUGGCGAAGGCGGCUCUCUGGUCUGCAACUGACGCUGAGGCUCGAAAGCAUGGGUAGCGAACAGGAUUAGAUACCCUUGGUAGUCCAUGCCGUAAACGAUGAGUGCUAAGUGUUGGGAGGCUUCCGCCUCUCAGUGCUGCAGCUAACGCAUUAAGCACUCCGCCUGGGGGAGUACGACCGCAAGGU
rnacentral:rRNA from 1 species